UACGUAGGGGGCAAGCGUUGUCCGGAUUUAUUGGGCGUAAAGAGCGUGUAGGCGGCCAGGUAGGUCUGCUGUGAAAACUCGAGGCUUAACCUCGAGCUGUCGGCGGAAACCAUCUGGCUAGAGUCCGGAAGAGGAGAAUGGAAUUCCCGGUGUAGCGGUGAAAAUGCGUAGAUAUCUGGAGGAAUACCGGUGGCGGAAGGCGGCGAUCCUGGACCGGCAUUGACGCUGAUGAGCGAAAGCUAGGGGAGCAAACGGG
rnacentral:rRNA from 1 species